rnacentral:rRNA from 1 species
GACGAACGCUGGCGGCGUGCCUAAUACAUGCAAGUAGGACGCAGUUGCGAACGGCUGAGUAACGCGUAGGUAACUACCUAUUAGAGGGGGCUAACUAUUGGAAACGAUAGCUAAUACCGCAUACCAGUAAAUGGACCUGCUUUGGAUUAGCGAGUAGGUAGGGUAAAGGCCUACCAAGGCAACGAUACAUAGCCGACCUGAGAGGGGGAUCGGCGAGAAUGGGACUGAGACACCGCCCAGACUGCGACGGGAGGCAGCAGGAGGGAAUCUUCGGCAAUGGGAGGAACGCUGACCGAGCAACGCCGGGUGAGUGAAGAAGGUUUUCGGAUCGGAAAGCUCUGUUGUUAAGGAAGCGGUACUUAACCAGAAAGGGACGGCUAACUACGUGCCAGCAGCCGCGGUAAUAC